UACGUAAAAGAACUAGUGUUAUUCAUCUUUAACAGGUUUAAAGGGUCCGUAGACGGUAAAAUUCCAUCUUAAAUAGGAUAUGUUUUUACUAGAGUUUUAUAUGAGGAGGCGAGUAUUCAUGGAGUAGAGUUGAAAUUCUUUGAUCCCAUGACGAACUGGUAAGGGCCGAAAGCAACCUUUUAUCUAAUAACUGACGUUGAGGGAC
rnacentral:rRNA from 1 species